GAAAUGCGAUAAGUAGUGUGAAUUGCAGAAUUCAGUGAAUCAUCGAAUCUUUGAACGCACAUUGCGCCCCUUGGUAUUCCAUGGGGCAUGCCUGUUCGAGCGUCAUCUACACCCUCAAGCUCUGCUUGGUGUUGGGCGUCUGUCCCGCCCCCGCGCGUGGACUCGCCCCAAAUCCAUUGGCAGCGUUCCUUGCCCCCUCUCGCGCAGCACAUUGCGCUGCUCGAGGGCGGCUCCGGGACGCGAUCCAGCAAGAUGACCACCGUCUUUGACCUCGGAUCAGGUAGGGAUACCCGCUGAACUUAAGC
rnacentral:misc_RNA from 1 species